AUCAGCUGACGAGUCCCAAAUAAGAGGAAACGCACCUCCUGGAU
rnacentral:hammerhead_ribozyme from 1 species